GACGAAGGGGGCUAGCGUUGUUCGGAAUUACUGGGCGUAAAGCGCGUGUAGGCGGUUAUCCAAGUCGGAUGUGAAAGCCUUGAGCUCAACUCAAGAAAUGCAUUCGGUACUGGGUGACUAGAGGACCGGAGAGGAUAGUGGAAUUCCCAGUGUAGUGGUGAAAUACGUAGAGAUUGGGAAGAACACCAGUGGCGAAGGCGGCUAUCUGGACGGUUUCUGACGCUAAGACGCGAAAGCGUGGGGAGCAAACAGG
rnacentral:rRNA from 1 species